GCUGGGGCUGGCCCAGAAGGUUAUAACACUCAUGGACAGAGAAAGGAAUCACUGAGCUCCUGACCUUUGUGGGAUGUGGCCUGAGACAUCAAAACAGUCUGGGGCCAGAAGGCUGGAGAGGUAUAGGCAGCUAGACUUAGGAAAGCCAUCAGGGUUAGGUGUGGGACUUAGGACUUAAUUCGCUAGGAUGCAGCCCCACUCCCAGCUAGGAAGGAAAUAUACCAGGGCCCAGGGCCCUCUGGCCAAACUACCUAGAUAGUCCAACCACCUCUUUCCCCCAUGGAGUCCUCACCUUUUGAGCAGGGUUAGUCAGGGCGCACUCUCUUGCUCUGGAAUGGAUUUCUUUUAUUUAUUUAUUUUAGUUUUAUGUGUAUGAGUGGUUUUUCUUCAUGUAAGCUUACUGCUAUGCCAUUGGAGGCCAGAAGAGUGCACUGGAUCCUCCAGCUCUGAAUGAUAGAUGGUUACAAGCUAUCCUGUGGGUGCUUGGAACUGAGCACCCAGUGCUUCUAACUCUCCAGGCCCUGUAAUGGACUCAGGCAGCAUAAGCCAAUAGAAAAAGUUACAGCCAAAUAAAGCUAAUGUCAAAGACUAGGGGCUCGAGUCUCCCUGGCACCUGGGAUCUAACAAGACACCUGUCCUGAUGUUUCUUCCCUGCAAAAAAGUACAGCUUGAAAAAGCAUCAGCACGGGGUUGGGGAUUUGGCUCAGUGGUAGAGCGCUUGCCUAGCAAGCGCAAGGCCCUGAGUUCAGUCCCCAGCUCCGAAAAAAAGAAAAGAAAAAAAAAAAGAAAGAAAGAAAAAGCAUCAGCUCAUGUGGGAUUGUGUAGCAUCCAGGGCUAGCCCAGGGGAGCUGGUACGAUUCUGGCUUAGUGCGUUAAGACACUCCCCACCAGCCAAGCCUGAUAAACUGAGUUCCAUUCCUGGAAACCCGCAUGGAAGCAGAAGUGUGACUCUUACAGCUGUUCUUCACAUGUAUGUGUUGGUAUGCAUGCAUGAGUGUAUGUGCACACACAUUCCUACAUGAAUAAAUACAACUUUUAAAUUAAAAAAAAAAAAG
rnacentral:lncRNA from 1 species